rnacentral:rRNA from 1 species
AACGAACGCUGGCGGCAUGCCUAACACAUGCAAGUCGAACGAUCCCUUCGGGGAUAGUGGCGCACGGGUGCGUAACGCGUGGGAACCUGCCCUUAGGUUCGGAAUAACUCAGAGAAAUUUGAGCUAAUACCGGAUAAUGUCUUCGGACCAAAGAUUUAUCGCCUUUGGAUGGGCCCGCGUUGGAUUAGCUAGUUGGUGGGGUAAAGGCCUACCAAGGCGACGAUCCGUAGCUGGUCUGAGAGGAUGAUCAGCCACACUGGGACUGAGACACGGCCCAGACUCCUACGGGAGGCAGCAGUGGGGAAUAUUGGACAAUGGGCGAAAGCCUGAUCCAGCAAUGCCGCGUGAGUGAUGAAGGCCUUAGGGUUGUAAAGCUCUUUUACCCGGGAUGAUAAUGACAGUACCGGGAGAAUAAGCCCCGGCUAACUCCGUG